rnacentral:rRNA from 1 species
UUGUGAGGUUAAGCGACUAAGCGUACACGGUGGAUGCCCUGGCAGUCAGAGGCGAUGAAGGACGUGCUAAUCUGCGAUAAGCGUCGGUGAGGUGAUAUGAACCGUUAUAACCGGCGAUUUCCGAAUGGGGAAACCCAGUGUGUUUCGACACACUAUCAUUAACUGAAUCCAUAGGUUAAUGAGGCGAACCGGGGGAACUGAAACAUCUAAGUACCCCGAGGAAAAGAAAUCAACCGAGAUUCCCCCAGUAGCGGCGAGCGAACGGGGAGGAGCCCAGAGCCUGAAUCAGUGUGUGUGUUAGUGGAAGCGUCUGGAAAGGCGCGCGAUACAGGGUGACAGCCCCGUACACAAAAAUGCACAUAUUGUGAGCUCGAUGAGUAGGGCGGGACACGUGGUAUCCUGUCUGAAUAUGGGGGGACCAUCCUCCAAGGCUAAAUACUCCUGACUGACCGAUAGUGAACCAGUACCGUGAGGGAAAGGCGAAAAGAACCCCGGCGAGGGGAGUGAAAAAGAACCUGAAACCGUGUACGUACAAGCAGUGGGAGCCUCUUAAUGGGGUGACUGCGUACCUUUUGUAUAAUGGGUCAGCGACUUAUAUUCUGUAGCAAGGUUAACCGAAUAGGGGAGCCGAAGGGAAACCGAGUCUUAACUGGGCGUUAAGUUGCAGGGUAUAGACCCGAAACCCGGUGAUCUAGCCAUGGGCAGGUUGAAGGUUGGGUAACACUAACUGGAGGACCGAACCGACUAAUGUUGAAAAAUUAGCGGAUGACUUGUGGCUGGGGGUGAAAGGCCAAUCAAACCGGGAGAUAGCUGGUUCUCCCCGAAAGCUAUUUAGGUAGCGCCUCGUGAAUUCAUCUCCGGGGGUAGAGCACUGUUUCGGCAAGGGGGUCAUCCCGACUUACCAACCCGAUGCAAACUGCGAAUACCGGAGAAUGUUAUCACGGGAGACACACGGCGGGUGCUAACGUCCGUCGUGAAGAGGGAAACAACCCAGACCGCCAGCUAAGGUCCCAAAGUCAUGGUUAAGUGGGAAACGAUGUGGGAAGGCCCAGACAGCCAGGAUGUUGGCUUAGAAGCAGCCAUCAUUUAAAGAAAGCGUAAUAGCUCACUGGUCGAGUCGGCCUGCGCGGAAGAUGUAACGGGGCUAAACCAUGCACCGAAGCUGCGGCAGCGACACUAUGUGUUGUUGGGUAGGGGAGCGUUCUGUAAGCCUGUGAAGGUGGCCUGUGAGGGUUGCUGGAGGUAUCAGAAGUGCGAAUGCUGACAUAAGUAACGAUAAAGCGGGUGAAAAGCCCGCUCGCCGGAAGACCAAGGGUUCCUGUCCAACG